UACAGAGGGGGCAAGCGUUAUUCGGAAUUAUUGGGCGUAAAGGGCGCGUAGGCGGCCUGGCAAGUGGAUGGUGAAAUCCCUCGGCUUAACCGAGGAACUGCCAUCCAGACUGCUUGGCUUGAGACCGGGAGAGGUGAGUGGAAUUCCCAGUGUAGCGGUGAAAUGCGUAGAUAUUGGGAGGAACACCUGUGGCGAAAGCGGCGCACUGGACCAUAACUGACGCUGAUGCGCGAAAGCUAGGGGAGCAAACAGG
rnacentral:rRNA from 1 species